AAACUGCGAAGACUUUUUGCUUCAUCACGAACCCUCUGUGUCAUACAUUUUAAUUUACCUCAUGAACUAUAUUAUAUUCGGAAAUUAUAUUAAGAUACAUGGUUUUCACUGGACAGGAAGGAUGUGAAAAGAGUAUACGGGCCUUGAAGAUAUCAUCCACCCAUGCACGAGCCAAGCAGCCAGGGUGCAGCUCCUCUCCUGAAGCAUUUUUCCACAUUUCCACUCCCCCCUUCCUACUCACACCAGUAGAAUUAAAAGCUUUCAUAAUGGAAAUCAUCUCUCGGUGGCCUUGGUCUGGUCCACUGUGGAUAAUGUGCUUUCUGUUCAGAGCCUAAUAAGCUCCCCCUAAGCCAUAUGGCUGAGUUCACCGGCCUGUGCCUGUGGGCUGUGAGAACACACAUCUUUAGCUUCAUAUGGAAUAUGAUUCAUAUUCUGCCGCAGCUCAAACCAACAGCUCACACUUCAUAUGACGUAGGCAGGAGCACCUCCAGGGUGCUCUGUCAGAGUGGAAUGUGGGAUAGGUCAGCAGCUGAAAACUCCACGAACAUCUGGCAGCGAGGAAGUUGGAACUGUUACCUUGUUCCGUAAAACCUCCCCCUGUAACCGUGUCUCUUGAGAGGAGAGUAAAGAUGCGGUAUAGCAGGUGGGUUGGUCAAUAGGGAACUUGGAAUUUCAUGCAAUCAUGUUCCUGGUAUCAUCAUGCGGUGAGGAGCUUUCCAUCCAACAAGCUGCACCAGGCUUUGGAACAUUUCCAAUCCAGAGCUUAGCCUGCAGAUCUGUAGUCUCAGUACUAGCCUGUCCUGUCAGAUCUAAUCUCUUGGCUGCAUGCCGUGAAAUGGUGCUUAUUAAGAGUUUAACUGAGAUCAGCCCAACCCCGAUCUGAUGCGUGCAAAGGAAAAGGGAAAUUGCUCACCUGAAAAAUCUCAAAAUCACAAAAACUGGGUGGCAUAAGGGGUUGAUAUCAGUCACCAGAGGCUUUGCUGUACACCACGUGCCUUCUCCCUUCUGUCUCUGGGAUGCAUCAUCUGUUAACUGCUAAUUAGAGACCAAAGAGAAAAGAUGGAUUUGAAGUUUCAAUUGGAACUGGUCCCAGUAUGAUAUCUCAGAGGGUUUAAAGGGACAGACUUCUGAGCCACAUGCUCCCAAAACUCUUGUCUCCUCACAUUACUCUCACACUGUCUGUUUGCAUUUAAACAAUGAGAUUCAUGACUGCAUCCCGAGUGCAAAUUAUAAAUUUAAAACACUGCAUUAUAACUGUCCACAGCUCUGUCUACAGCUCAUCAUUUACUUGUUCUUGUACCUUAAAAAUACUAUUAAAUACAGUUUGUUAUAACUGCAGUGGAAGGUUGGCCCUGACA